GACGAACCGUGCGAACGUUGUUCGGAAUCACUGGGCGUAAAGGGUGCGUAGGCGGGUCUUUAAGUCAGGGGUGAAAUCCUGGAGCUCAACUCCAGAACUGCCUUUGAUACUGAGGAUCUUGAGUUCGGGAGAGGUGAGUGGAACUGCGAGCGUAGAGGUGAAAUUCGUAGAUAUUCGCAAGAACACCAGUGGCGAAGGCGGCUCACUGGCCCGAUACUGACGCUGAGGCACGAAAGCGUGGGGAGCAAACAGG
rnacentral:rRNA from 1 species